UACGGGGGGAGCAAGCGUUGUUCGGAUUUACUGGGCGUAAAGGGCGCGUAGGCGGCGCAACAAGUCACUUGUGAAAUCUCCGGGCUUAACCCGGAGCGGCCAAGUGAUACUGUCGUGCUAGAGUGCGGAAGGGGCUACUGGAAUUCUCGGUAUAGCGGUGAAAUGCGUAGAUAUCGAGAGGAACACCUGCGGCGAAGGCGGGUAGCUGGGCCGACACUGACGCUGAUGCGCGAAAGCCAGGGGAGCGAACAGG
rnacentral:rRNA from 1 species